GGCAGGGCCCCGGCAAGCGGCCACCAUGGCGCGGUCACCGCGGUGGUAGCACGGGGUCCCUGCUGUUGUCCUGCAGCGAAGGAUAAAAGAUCCGGGACUCCUGAGCAUAGCGCGCCCCGUCCCGGCGUUCUGCGAAGUCCCACAAGCGCACACGGAGAGCGCAAUGAAGUGGAAUAUCGGCUCCAAAAGCACCCGAUAGGUGACGGGAGAAACGUUUCUUAAACCUAGUGAGAUCUUUGGUGUAUGUCCAAGAAUACAGUGUGCACUCAGAGGCUCGCAUUUACCUGAGUUUCCCACUCUAACCUGUCAAAAUGAGGACAAGGAUCGCUUUUUGCUUCCUUUACCACCUGCUAGGUUGCCUCUGGACCAGGAAAUCAGAAGAGACAUACUCAAUGGGCUAACGGGCUGCGCUAGCUGUACUGAAAAGUGACAUCCAUCCCUUCUGGAGUCAUACACCUCGCUCCCCCUAAAGAGCAUAUCUUACUGAAAUAUUCAGGAGAAAAUUUGAGGAUUUCCUCAUUCGGUCUGAGUCUCUGAUCUUCAGAUUGUUUUCAAUGCCUGUGAGCUGGAGAUGGCAAGUUGCUUGGUUGGCUGCUAAUGAAGCGUGCUGUGGAGUCUACCACAUUGCAGUAAGAUUUCAUAAGCUUGGCACCUGUUCCAGAUGAAUGGAGUUGAUGGCAUAGGCUGGAAAUUUGUCUGUCUUCAGCCCAGCUUGAAAUGUCUGAGGAUUAUCCCUGUAAAUCAUGAAUUCUAGCAAGUGCAAUGGGCAAAACUCAACUAGGUUCCAGGUGUCCUGCAGCUUUAAAGUAAAUCUCUAUUUUUCUUUCCAUGCAUCUGCUGCCAUGUGCCACCAGCCAAGGCCAAUAAUCCUUCUGAGGAGCCAGUCACAUUUCCUUAACAGAGAACCAGAGAAGGAGAAUUUAGGUGCUUUAAAACACCUAAGAAACUGCUUUUACAUCUUAAACAGAGGAAUAGGGUAUAUGCUUGCGAGGGGGUUGCAAAAGAUUCCCAGAGUCAUCACAGCCAGCUGGUAGAACUGAGACAGAUAUAAGCCAUACUAAAAAGAACUAAUUUGUCAGGUAUAGCAGAUGUGGCUGUCCUCACCUUUCUUAGAAUCUUUUUCUGUAACCAGAUCAUUGCCUGAUUCAAGUUGAAAUACUCCACACUAAUUGAUGAAACAAGUUAGUUUUUUCUGGUUGAACAAAAGGUUUAAUUUGAACCAAAACCCUCAAACAAAUUGUUUCUCUUUCACUGAGAAAUUACAUUUUGCAUUCAAAGUGCACUGGAAUAGAUGCAUUAGGGGAUGUAGCACCACUUACAGAGCUGAAGAGAAGCUCUUAAGCAUUGUCCCCAUAUGGCCAGUCACCCAAAGUUCAGGGCACUCACUUGGACAUAUGAUGUGGAGGUGCAGAUCCCAUCUGCCUGAGCAGAGGUUUGAAAUAAGAUCCAAUGGGCCUUGUGAGAAUGUCCUUACUCCUGAGCUGUGGCAGGUUGGGAGGAAAUCUUUCCUGCUCCUACAGUUCCAUGUUAUGUCAGGUACUCCACUAUUCAUUGGAGCAAGAACAACAAUGCUCUGAGUCAAUGUUUAAUUAUUUUAAACCAUUUAGUCACUUUGAAAAUGCAUUUAUCUCAUCUCAGCAAUUCUGUUGAAGGUCUGUUUCACUUUGAUUGCACCUGAUCCAAAGAUAAAGGAAAUCUUUUUUGCUGAUGUGAGACUGUGGAAAGAGUACCUUCUGCAGAACUCAGGAUCCUAAUCUAGGAACCUGGUCACCCUAAUCUCAGUAAACAGGCAGUGGAGGGAGAACUCAAGCCUUAGCAGCUCUUGUCAGGAGCCUGGGGCAACUGUACACCUAAUUUGGGUACCUAAAAUUAGAUGUGGAAGAAUUCAGACCUUCUUGCUUCUUCCUUGCUUUUUGCAAGACUGUGACAUUUUGCUCAGAGUCAUGGUGCUGCAUUGUGACUGCUGUCACUUAGAUGCUGAGUAAAUGAUGUUGCAUCAGAAUAUGCUGCUGCAGUUUAAGUCUCAUGCCUAAAUAUCAUGAGACUGCAAUUCACAACUUCUUCAUGCUAGACACACUGCAAAAAUGUUGCCUGUCACAAGGAGGCAAGGUCAUUACUGAAAAGCUGAUCAUGCCUUAGAGCCAUGCCCAGAAUGAGUUGCUGGAGCUUUCAUUUUUCAGCCCUUUGAUGAAACCCUGCAGGAACUUCAGCUGUCACAAGCAUCCUAGCAAAGACACCUUCCAGCUCUAAGCUGUUCAAGACUAAAAAACUAUGCAAGGUCUGGAGAUCUGCUAUGGAGAAGUACCUAGAAGCUUGACUUUAAGCUGAGAAUUCAGUUCAGCCUAAGUCUCCUGAAUUUGGCAAAUAGGAUUCUCCUCUUCAUGGGAUUUCUAGGUUCACUGCUCUCUAUUGCAACCAAAGAAAGGUGUGUGGAAGAGAAAGAAAUAUCACACAUUUUUACAAAAAGCAAGUGAUCUUGGUUCUUUUCUGACCCGAGUUUGGGUUGAGGUGGGUCCUUACAGGCUGGUCUACACUUCAAGGAAGACAUGCUCCAAGGAGCACUCUCCAGACAUCUGGACCAGGGUUCAUGUUGGUGUUCACUACAGCUGCCUGCCUGCCAACACAACUGAGUCUCUCUCCUAUGGACACCACAGCACAUGAGUGACAUUUUGGACCUGGGCCUCAUCCUCACAGUGCCACAGAGUACACUGCUCUGCAGGACAGGCAAAGCCAGCCUGUGGUCAGACAUUUGGUGGAGUUGAGCCAUCCCUCUCUUCCCAGCUUGCCCUCCUGUCUCAUAGGGUUCCUGCAACCCAGAUAGCAUCUGCUUAUCCAUCAUGUUCUGCCUGCUUUUCAGCUCAGGGGACCCCUCUUACUCCUACAGUGCUUUUCAAAGGAAAAUCAUUUGGAAACCAUGUGCUUUUAGUGGCUGUGCCACUCAUUCUUUCCAAGCCUCACUUGUUCUGUUUUCCUUGGUGAACUCUGCUCACAUCUCCAUGAUUGAUUGUGUUUGAGUUUGAUUAAGUGUGCUGGGAUGUUUGCAUGAAAGGUGCUACCUAAGCAUAAUUUGUGCUGUAUUUUCUUUGCCUAAUGGGAGCUUAAGCCUGAAGUUUAAGAUCAUUUUGGCCCUCUGCUGAGACAGUGUCCUUCAACUUCAGUGCUUUCAGCUCUGCAGCCUCCUCUGUUCACUGUCAGCUUGAAAAAGAGCCUGCUUUCUUCCCUUGUGCAUCAGCAGUGCCUUUGAACAUCUGUCUGGGGCAGAGGUGUGACAGCCUUCCCAGCACAUGGGCCCUGCUCUUUUUUGCCCCUCUCUAGUGGCAAGGGAUGCUCUCCACACAAGGCUCUGGCUGGUCUCCGUUCUGUGCACAACUAAGGGUUACUCACUUGUGAGUGGACACAACAUUUACAGCAGAAAUGCUGAAUCAAGAAACAGAAGAAAAAAAUAGUAUUGCACAACCUGUGUGGCUGUUCAAACACAUAGGAAAGGUCUUUCCCAGUCUUGAAACCCCAAGAAUUUUGGAAAAAAGCAUGGAAAUUAACCCCAGGUAAUUUUUACAGACUAAACUAUCCCUCGAUGCAGCAUUAAAACCUUUGCAGGUCAUACAUUUCCCCUCAAACUCUUUAAAUGAAUAAAGGGUAUGAUCUUAGCUGAAGGGAAUUUUCAGCAUAUUUGGUGGUUGUAUCCAAAGAUCAAGAUAUUUUGGGACACAGGGCAAAGUAAUAAAGAACCAAUUCAGUUUUAAAGUUUGCACCACUGAAAGCUACCAAUUAAUACCUACUGCUACAAAAUAUUUAUAUUUCUUGUUCUGCACAGCCAGAUUUCAGCAAAGCAGACUAAUAACAGGUUUAAAUUUACAGAAGACAAUGGUCUUGUGAUUAGGGCCUUGAAUAUGGAUUCAGAGGAUCUGGUUUUAAUUUGUCCCUCUGACAAACUCCCCCUACAGCCAUAGGCAAGUUCCUUAAGCUCUAUAUUCCCAUAUCCUGAGUGGGAAGUUGGGACAGUUGUAUUUUCCUCCCUCCUAAGUUUCAUUAAGCUUUAUAAUUGUGAGGUUCCAGAGGGAUACAAUAACUGUCUGAAAAGCUUAAAAAUAACCACAGUUCAAAGAUGUAGAUGUUACUUUUACUACAGUGCAAAUUAAACAGCCCAUUAGAAAAAAUGGGCAUAAGAUGACAAAAAGUGUAUGAUUCAUAUUAAUUGUACAUGCAUUUGGGAAUAAAAUGAUCUUAAUUAGCAGUGUUUAUCUAUAAUUAUCUGACUUUCAAGUGCAGCUGUGGUAGUUGUGUGCAUAACUCCUUGCAUCAUCAAGCCCAGUUUGCUUUUUUGCACAGUAUGAUGUAUGCCUUUUAUGUUCAAAGAAAAUCCUCACUUUCUAACACCUGCUAUUUGAAAUAAUUUGAUUCUCAGUGUUGUCUUUUGGAGGUAGCUGCUGUAUGUUUUUUCUGCAGGCUUAGCAGACAGUACUUUCAAAGCAGCAUGGUUACUCAUAAGCAACUCCUGUUCAGUGUGAUUUAGCAUUUGUUAGUCAUGUGCUACAAGUGUUAUUUGUUGUUUCCAUUUACUCACUUUCUAUAAUGAUUAUCACAGAUUUAAUAUCAUGAAAAACUCAUAAGUUUCCAUGGAUCCUUUUGCUGCAUGGCCUUUGAGCUACUGCUCUGUUGUACAAUAAUUUUUUUUUUUUAAGGAAGAAACUACUGUUUAUUGGAACUGAGCAAAUAUGGAAAGGAAGUAGUCUGUGCUUUUUCAUUCAAGUAUGAACUUUUUAAACUUUACUAAUGCAUAAUUUUGGCCCAUAUGUUUGCUGGAAAGAAUCAAUCAUAUAUUUGGAUGUAAUAUUUGGAACUGACUGUGUUGAUUAGCUGCAGGGACCAAAGUUACACUUGCAGUUUCUUGACUGGAUAACUGGUACAAACCACACAACAAAUAGCUGUGGCUAUUUCAGUCAAAUAUGAUUGCAAAUAUUAAAUGCAAAAUUUAAUAAGUGUACAUAAUGUCUAAUCUGAGCUUUAUUGGCUUGGUUAAUUAUAUGAUUUCAGCUGAAAGUGUGAUUUGAAUUUGCCCUGACAACAAUAACUUUUGAAGUGUUCUCUAGAUAAAAUAUAAUUACAAAAUAAAUUCAAAGGGCAUUUUGAAUAGCCAA